UAAAGUCUGGCCUGCCCACUGAUUUAUUUUAAAGGGCCGCGGUAUACUGACCGUGCGAAGGUAGCAUAAUCAUUAGUCUUUUAAUUGGAGGCUCGUAUGAAUGGUUGGACAAAAAGCAAACUGUCUCAAUUAUAUUUAUUGAAUUUAACUUUUAAGUGAAAAGGCUUAAAUAAAUUAAGG
rnacentral:rRNA from 1 species